rnacentral:rRNA from 1 species
AGCUUUCGACGGUAAGGUAUUGGCUUACCGUGGCAGUGACGGUUAACGGGGAAUUAGGGUUCAAUUCCGGAGAGGGAGCCUGAGAAACGGCUACCACAUCUAAGGAAGGCAGCAGGCGCGCAAAUUACCCAAUUCUAACAGCAUAAGAGAGGUAGUGACAAGAAAUAACAGUACAAGGCAGUUAAAAUGCUUUGUAAUUGGAAUGAUAGAAAUUUAAAUACUUUUUAAAGUAUCAAUUGGAGGGCAAGUCUGGUGCCAGCAGCCGCGGUAAUUCCAGCUCCAAUAGCGUAUAUUAAAAUUGUUGCAGUUAAAAAGCUCGUAGUUGAAUUUUUGCUAAAAAUAACCGGUCUGCUAUUAUUACUAAAAGUGGUAUCUUGGUGUGUUUUUAGCAAUAAUGUCCUUUGAAAUGUUUUUUACUUUAAUGUAAAAAGCAAUUUUCAGGAUUUUUACUUUGAGAAAAUUAGAGUGUUUCAAGCAGGCUAACGUUUUGAAUACUGCAGCAUGGAAUAAUAAAUUAGGAUUUUAGUUCUACGUUAUUGGUUUUAAGAGCUAAAUUAAUGAUUGAUAGGAGCAGUUGGGGGCAUUUGUAUUUAACUGUCAGAGGUGA